rnacentral:lncRNA from 1 species
CUGGUACUCCCCAUAUCACCUCCCCCCUUCGGCUACUCCUGCCACGGGGUGGGGGGGUGGGGGGGGGGUUGGAGGCCUCUCCCAAGGAGAAGGGAAACCUUGACAACAUACCCCUUCAAGUGUUCCGUCCCGAGAAUUUCAAGGACCCAGGCCUUCCAAGUCACAGAAGGCUCUGACAGCUCCCCUAGGUCAGUAGAGGGAUGACCGCGAGAACCAGAACAAACCUGGCUAGAUGACAAGGGAAGGCCCAGGGAAUGAAGGGCAUCCAGUGGUCAACACAUAGUCUUCAAACCACAGAAGAGAAAGAGAAAAUUUGUGAGUUUUCUCUGCCCUAAUUUGUGGAUCUUAUGGGAGCUCUGUAGCCAUUUUGGUUUUAUUUUGUUUUAUCCAGGAAGGGAUGAGGUAAGAAUCCAAAUGUCACAUAUCACCGUGUCCUUACAGAUGACCCACACUGGUGGCUCUUAAACGAUGCUGAAUGGAGCCCUUCAGGGUACAGAGUCCUUUACAAGAUGUCAGGGACGCGGACAGCAGGCACAAGAAGUAGAAGACGCCAUGUUCCAGCCCCUUUGUGGUGAGAUGAGCCCCAGAACUAAUCCUGGCCAACAGGGCUAUGAGCAUGUCACUUUCAAGCUGAAGCAUACAAGAGCAGUUGGGGCCACUCAUGCCACUCUCCUGCCAGAGCAAUCAAGAGACUGUGUAGUCCCAGCCAGUAUGGGUACAGGAGACAGAGCCUCCAUCAGCUCCGGACCUUGGGUGACUGCAUGGAAUGGAAUCCCCACCCCCAAUCUGUGAUGGACAGAAAGCACAAGUAAGAAAUAAAACACUGUAUUAAAACUGCAUUUCCAGGUCGUUUUGC